rnacentral:rRNA from 1 species
UGGGGAAUAUUGCACAAUGGGGGAAACCCUGAUGCAGCAACGCCUCGUGAGUGAUGACGGCCUUCGGGUUGUAAAGCUCUGUUUCCAGGGACGAUAAUGACGGUACCUGAGGAGGAAGCCACGGCUAACUACGUGCCAGCAGCCGCGGUAAUAUGUAGGUGGCGAGCGUUGUCCGGAUUUACUGGGCGUAAAGGGAGCGUAGGCGGAUUUUUAAGUGAGAUGUGAAAUACUCGGGCUCAACUUGAGUGCUGCAUUUCAAACUGGAAGUCUAGAGUGAAGGAGAGGAGAAUGGAAUUCCUUGUGUAGCGGUGAAAUGCGUAGAGAUUAGGAAGAACACCAGUGGCGAAGGCGAUUCUCUGGACUGUAACUGACGCAGAGGCUCGAAAGCGUGGGGAGCAAACAGG